rnacentral:rRNA from 1 species
AGGAUGAACGCUGGCGGCGUGCCUAAUACAUGCAAGUCGAGCGGUAAGGCCUCUUCGGAGGUACACGAGCGGCGGACGGCUGAGUAACACGUAGGAACGUACCCCAAACUGAGGGAUAAGCACCAGAAAUGGUGUCUAAUACCGCAUGUGCUCUAAGGAGUAAAGCUUCGGCGGUUUGGGAACGGCCUGCGUCCGAUUAGCUAGUUGGUGAGGUAAUAGCUUACCAAGGCGACGAUCGGUAGCUGGUCUGAGAGGAUGAUCAGCCAGACUGGGACUGAGAACGGCCCAGACUCCUACGGGAGGCAGCAGUAGGGAAUUUUCCACAAUGGGCGAAAGCCUGAUGGAGCAACGCCGCGUGCAGGAUGAAUGCCUUCGGGUUGUAAACUGCUUUAUCUGUGACGAAUAUGACGGUAGCAGAUGAAUAAGGAUCGGCUAACUCCGUGCCAGCAGCCGC